UCCAGUGUGGCGUAGUGGUCUGAGCAUUGGACUAUGACUCUGGAGAUCAGGUUUCAAUUCCUAGCUCUGCAU